rnacentral:rRNA from 1 species
GACGAACGCUGGCGGCGCGCUUAACACAUGCAAGUCGAGCGAAGCGGCGGACGGGUGAGUAACACGUGAGUAACCUGCCUUAGACAUUGGGAUAGCCUCGGGCAACCGGGAUUAAUACCAAAUGGUCUAGAUGGACUCGCGUCCCAUUAGCUAGUUGGUAGGUAAUGGCUUACCAAGGCUAUGAAGCGUAACUGGUCUGAGAGGAUGAUCAGUGACAUUGGAACUGAGACACGGUCCAAACUCGACGGGAGGCAGCAGUGGGGAAUAUUGCACAAUGGAGGGAACUCUGAUGCAGCGACGCCGCGUGAACGAAGAAGGCUUUCGAGUCGUAAAGUUCUUUUAUAUGGGAAGCGGUACCAGAAGAAAAAGCCCCGGCUAACUACGUGCCAGCAGCCGCGGUAAUUC